UUAGAGUUUGAUCCUGGCUCAGGAUGAACGCUAGCGGCAGGCCUAACACAUGCAAGUCGAGGGGCAGCGAGGAGUAGCAAUAUUCUGUCGGCGACCGGCGCACGGGUGCGUAACGCGUAUGCGACCUACCUAUAACAGGGGGAUAACCCAGAGAAAUUUGGACUAAUACCCCAUAUUAUUAUUGAGCUGCAUGGUUUGAUAAUGAAAGACUUUGGUUGGUUAUAGAUGGGCAUGCGUGACAUUAGCUAGUUGGUAAGGUAACGGCUUACCAAGGCGACGAUGUCUAGGGGAACUGAGAGGUUAAUCCCCCACACUGGUACUGAGACACGGACCAGACUCCUACGGGAGGCAGCAGUGAGGAAUAUUGGUCAAUGGUCGGAAGACUGAACCAGCCAUGCCGCGUGAAGGAAGAAUGUCCUAUGGAUUGUAAACUUCUUUUGUAAGGGAGCAAUAAGUCUCAUGCGUGGGAUGAUGAGAGUACCUUACGAAUAAGCAUCGGCUAACUCCGUGCCAGCAGCCGCGGUAAUACGGAGGAUGCGAGCGUUAUCCGGAUUUAUUGGGUUUAAAGGGUGCGUAGGCGGACUAUUAAGUCAGUGGUGAAAUACCGGAGCUUAACUUCGGGGCUGCCAUUGAUACUGAUAGACUAGAGAGUAAAUGGAGUAGGCGGAAUAUGUCAUGUAGCGGUGAAAUGCUUAGAUAUGACAUAGAACACCGAUCGCGAAGGCAGCUUGCUAAGAUACAUCUGACGCUGAUGCACGAAAGCGUGGGGAUCGAACAGGAUUAGAUACCCUGGUAGUCCACGCAGUAAACGAUGAUAACUUGUUGUCGGCGAUACACAGUCGGUGACCAAGCGAAAGCGAUAAGUUAUCCACCUGGGGAGUACGAUCGCAAGGUUGAAACUCAAAGGAAUUGACGGGGGCCCGCACAAGCGGAGGAGCAUGUGGUUUAAUUCGAUGAUACGCGAGGAACCUUACCUAGACUCAAAUGUUGAGUGACCGUUUCAGAAAUGGAACUUCUCUUCGGAGCACUUAGCAAGGUGCUGCAUGGUUGUCGUCAGCUCGUGCCGUGAGGUGUCAGGUUAAGUCCUAUAACGAGCGCAACCCCUGCACAUAGUUGCCAUCAUUCAGUUGGGGACUCUAUGUGGACUGCCGGCGCAAGCCGCGAGGAAGGUGGGGAUGACGUCAAAUCAGCACGGCCCUUACGUCUAGGGCGACACACGUGCUACAAUGGUCGGUACAGAGGGCAGCUACCCAGCGAUGGGAUGCGAAUCUCGAAAGCCGAUCUCAGUUCGGAUCGGAGUCUGCAACUCGACUCCGUGAAGUUGGAUUCGCUAGUAAUCGCGUAUCAGCCAUGACGCGGUGAAUACGUUCCCGGGCCUUGUACUCACCGCCCGUCAAG
rnacentral:rRNA from 1 species